rnacentral:lncRNA from 1 species
GAAUUUUGCUCUAUUGACCAGGCUGAAGUGCAAUGGCACAAUCCUGGCUCACUGCAACCUCCGCCUCCCUGGUUCAGGAGAAUAGCUUGAACCCAGGAUGCAGAGGUUGCAGUGAGCUGAGAUUGUGCCCUUGCACUCCAGCCUGGGUGACAGAGUGAGACUCCCUCUCUAAAUAAAUAAAUAAAUAAGUCUAGAGAUGAUUUAGAGUAUACAGGAGGAUGUGUGUAGGUUACAUGCAAAUACUAGGCCAUUUUAUAGCAGGGCCUUAAGCAUCUGUGCAUUUUGGUGUUCACAGGAGACUCCUGAAACCAGUGCCUCAUGGAUACAGAGGGAUGACUGCAUAUAUCAGGGUUUCUCAACCUCAGCACUGCUGACACGUUGGGUUGGAUAAUUUUUGGUUGUGCAUUGUAGGGUGUUUAACAGCAUCCCUGGCCCCUGCCCUCUAAAUGCCAAUAGUAAUCCCAUCCUCUCCCCUUCCCAUCAAGUUGUGAAAACCAAAAAUAUCUCCAGGCAUUGCCAAAUGUUUUCUGGAGGUAAAAGCACCCCUGAUUGAGACCCUCCAGCUGACAUGUAAAUAUUCUAUACAUUCCCCCUCACAGAUUGGCCCAUGGUCUUGGGUUCAGAACCACCAGUAUAAUCAAACCUCACACGUCACAGGGGAGAAAAUCAAAGCCCAGAGUGAUUUGCCUAUAGUGAUUGUCUUUGUUUCCUUGGGUUGCCAUAAGAAAUAGCCACAAACUGAAUGGCUUAAAACAGCAGGAAUGUAUUCUCUCACAGUUGUGGAGAACAAAAAUCCGAAAUCAAGGUAUCAGCAAGGCCGUGCCCUUUCUGAAACCUCCAGGGGAAAAUUCUUCCUCAUCUAGUCCAGUUCCUGCUGGCUCCGUGCAUUCCUUGACUUGAGGAUGCGUCAGUCCAAUUUCUGCUUCAGCCUUCACAUGGUCUUGCUGUGUGUGUGUGUGUGUGUGUGUGUGUGUCUGUGUGUGUGUGUGUGUCCCUCU